CACACUAUUGGGGAAUGAACCUACAUACAAUGCUACCAUGCUGAUCUUAAAAUAUAUAUUUAACUUGGCGAGUCAGGUCAGUACUAAUUAUUAUUUACAAAUGACGGCCUACACAGACCAAACCCUAACCAGGAUGACGCUGGGCCAAUUGUGCCCCAUCCUAUGGGACUCCUGAUCACUGCCAGUUGUGAUACAGCCCGGGAUCGAUCCAGGGUCUGUAGUGACACCUCUAGCACUGUGAGGAAAGCGCCUUAGACCGCUGCGCCACUCGGGAGCCAGAACUGAUUCUAGAACCCAUCUAAAACAACCAGGUGUUCUACAUUACAUCACUACUAUGCUGAUUGAUUCUAGAACCCAUCUAAAACAACCAGGUGUUCUACAUUACAUCACUACUAUGCUGAUUGAUUCUAGAACCCAUCUAAAACAACCAGGUGUUGUACAUUACAUCACUACUAUGCUGAUUGAUUCUAGAACCCAUCUAAAACAACCAGGUGUUCUACAUUACAUCACUACUAUGCUGAUUGAUUCUAGAACCCAUCUAAAACAACCAGGUGUUCUACAUUACAUCACUACUAUGCUGAUUGAUUCUAGAACCCAUCUAAAACAACCAGGUGUUCUACAUUACAUCACUACUAUGCUGAUUGAUUCUAGAACCCAUCUAAAACAACCAGGUGUUCUACAUUACAUCACUACUAUGCUGAUUGAUUCUAGAACCCAUCUAAAACAACCAGGUGUUCUACAUUACAUCACUACUAUGCUGAUUGAUUCUAGAACCCAUCUAAAACAACCAGGUGUUCUACAUUACAUCACUACUAUGCUGAUUGAUUCUAGAACCCAUCUAAAACAACCAGGUGUUGUACAUUACAUCACUACUAUGCUGAUUGAUUCUAGAACCCAUCUAAAACAACCAGGUGUUCUACAUUACAUCACUACUAUGCUGAUUGAUUCUAGAACCCAUCUAAAACAACCAGGUGUUCUACAUUACAUCACUACUAUGCUGAUUGAUUCUAGAACCCAUCUAAAACAACCAGGUGUUGUACAUUACAUCACUACUAUGCUGAUUGAUUCUAGA